rnacentral:lncRNA from 1 species
CGCGCACCCAGCCCACCCAACCCCCCCAACUCGCUCCGCGCGCGCGAUUCCAGGGUCCUGCAGACCCGCCCCGGCUCCCCGCUCUUUCCCAGCCUCGGGUCCUGAGAGGGCGCCUACACCGAUCUCACGAUGCCUCCCUCCCGUGGAGUGAAGCGGCAGUCUGGAGAGAAUCUUUCACUGGCAAACCAGAAUGUCUCAUUGCUUCCCUCGGUCUUGCAUUCUCCUUUUCAUGCUAUCUCGAUGUCCAUUCCUCCCCUCCCCCGUUGCACCCCCAUGCGACUGCGGCACCCUCCCUCCAAAUGCAGAGACGGUCUUAAAGCUUGGUGAAGCCAACCACACUGCAAAGCCAAGGGAAGUGGGGUUCGACUUGGCAGACAUUAUUUUAAACAGCAGUUCACACUUGCAACACCGGCAGCCCAGCCCAUCAAAGGCAAGAAACAGGAAACUGUGGGACCUACAGCCUAUGCCCAGUACCACCUAAUGCAAUCUGAAACUUCCCGCCGUAUCAGAGACAUGGCACCGAUGAGAAAUAAAAAUCUUAAGUCAGCCUGAAGACCAGGAUGUCAACCUCUCAGCACUGCUCCAGCACCAUGCCUGUCUGCUUCUCACCAUGAUGAUCACGGAUGAUCCUUCUAAAAGUGUAAGCAGGCCCCCAAUUAAAU